rnacentral:rRNA from 1 species
GAUGAACGCUGGCGGCGUGCUUAAUACAUGCAAGUCGAACGGAAGGGCCCUGAUCGCAGGGUUCUCGAGUGGCGAACGGGCGAGUAAGACAUGGGUGAUUAGCCCUGCUCUUCGGGUUAGGCCGCGGAAACUGGGCUUAAUUCCGGAUAGGAGCGAUUUUUAGUGUGAUGGUUCGAAAGUUUUCUCGGUGUUGGAUGAGCUGGCGGCCUAUCGGCUUGCUGGUGGGGUUAUGGCCUACCGAGGCGGCGACGGGUAGCCGGCCUGAGAGGGUGACCGGCGACAUAGGGUCUGAGGGGCGGCACAGACUGCGACGGGAGGCAGCAGUGGGGAAUAUUGCACAAUGGGCGCAGGCCUGAUGCAGCGGCGCCGCGUGGGGGAUGACGGCCUUCGGGUUGUAGACUCCUUUCGCUAGGGACGAAGCUUUUUGUGACGGUACCUAGAUAAGAAGCACCGGCUAACUACGUG